rnacentral:rRNA from 1 species
AGAAUCAACGCUGGCGGCGUGCCUAACACAUGCAAGUCGAACGCGGUUGUUCAGCAAUGGACAACUGAGUGGCGAAUGGGUGAGUAACACGUGGGUGACCUACCUUCGAAUGGGGGAUAACGUCCCGAAAGGGACGCUAAUACCGCAUAACAUCCUGCUUUUGAACAGGUGGAGAUCAAAGCCGGGGAUCGCAAGACCCGGCGUUUGAAGAGGGGCCCGCGUCCGAUUAGCUAGUUGGUGGGGUAACGGCUCACCAAGGCGACGAUC